AUAUAUGAUGACUUACAUGGAAUCUUGUUUGGCUGAUGAUUUGCUGCGAGACUCAAAAAUCUGAAUUUC